rnacentral:rRNA from 1 species
UACGUAGGGACCGAGCGUUGUCCGGAUUCAUUGGGCGUAAAGAGCUCGUAGGCGGCUGUUCAAGUCGAACGUGAAAACUCGGAGCUCAACUCCGAGCCUGCGUUCGAUACUGGACGGCUAGAGUCUGGUAGGGGGAUCUGGAAUUCCUGGUGUAGCGGUGGAAUGCGCAGAUAUCAGGAGGAACACCGGUGGCGAAGGCGGUUCUCUGGGACGGUACUGACGCUGAGACGCGAAAGCGUGGGGAGCGAACAGG